UUAUGUCCAGGGCUUCACGCAUGCUACAAUGGCCGGUACAAAGAGUUGCGAGCCUGUGAGGGUGAGCGAAUCUCAAAAAGCCGGUCUCAGUUCGGAUUGGGGUCUGCAACUCGACCCCAUGAAGUCGGAGUCGCUAGUAAUCGCAGAUCAGCAACGCUGCGGUGAAUACGUUCCCGGGGCUUGUACACACCGCCCGUCAAGUCAUGAAAGUCGGUAACACCCGAAGCCGGUGGCCUAACCUUUUUGGAGGGAGCCGUCGAAGGUGGGACCGGUAAUUAGGACUAAGUCGUAACAAGGUAGCCGUACCGGAAGGUGCGGCUGGAUCACCUCCUUU
rnacentral:ncRNA from 1 species